rnacentral:rRNA from 1 species
UACGAAGGGGGCUAGCGUUGUUCGGAAUCACUGGGCGUAAAGCGCUCGUAGGCGGAUCUUUAAGUCAGGGGUGAAAUCCCGAGGCUCAACCUCGGAACUGCCUUUGAUACUGGGGAUCUCGAGUCCGGGAGAGGUGAGUGGAACUGCGAGUGUAGAGGGUGAAAUUCGUAGAUAUUAGGAAGAACACCAGUGGCGAAGGCGGCUCACUGGUCCGGUACUGGACGCUGAGGUGCGAAAGCGUGGGGAGCAAACAG